AGGGCACACGGUGGAUGCCUUGGCACAAGAAGCCGAUGAAGGACGUGGCAAGCUGCGAUAAGCUACGGUGAGACGCACACAGUCUUCGACCCGUAGAUUUCCGAAUAGGUGAACCUAGUUGGGGUAACGCCCAAUUACUUCCAGCUGAACACAUAGGCUGGAUAGAGACAACUUGGGGAACUGAAACAUCUAAGUACCCAAAGGAAGAGAGAGAUUCCCGGAGUAGCGGCGAGCGAAACGGGACCUAGCCUAAACCCAUGUAUGCGUUAAAGCGUAAGGGCGUUGCUGCAUGUGGGGUUGUGGGAUCAUUUAUUCUAUGAGCCUUAUCUCAUAGACGUAGUUACAAAACGUUGUGGUAGUAAAACGGUAUGGAAAGGCCGGCCAUAGAGGGUUAAAGCCCCGUAUACGAAAUUGCAGCGACUGCGAAAAUGACACCCGAGUAAUGCCGGACACGUGAAAUCCGGUAUGAAUCUGGGGGGACCACCCUCCAAGGCUAAAUACUCUCUUGUGACCGAUAGUGAACAAGUACCGUGAGGGAAAGGUGAAAAGCACCCCGAGAGGGGAGUGAAAUAGUACCUGAAACCGUGUGCCUACAAGCAGUCGGAGCCUUUAGGGAGCAAUCCCGGGGUGACGGCGUGCCUUUUGUAGAAUGAGCCAGCGAGUUACGGUGUGCGGCGAGGUUAAGUUUGAAACGAGCCGUAGCGAAAGCGAGUCUUUAAGAUGGCGCUUAGUCGUAUGCUGUAGACGCGAAGCCGGGUGAGCUAUCCAUGGGCAGGUUGAAGCGAGGGUAAGACCUUGUGGAGGACCGAACCCACUUCUGUUGAAAAAGGAGGGGAUGACCUGUGGAUAGGAGUGAAAGGCUAAUCAAACCCGGAGAUAUCUCGUUCUCCCCGAAAUAGCUUUAGGGCUAGCCUCGUUCGUUUAGUAUUGGUGGUAGAGCACUGGAUGGUCUAGGGGGCUUCACCGCUUACCGAAAUUAACCAAACUCCGAAUGCCAAUACUUUAAAGAACGGGAGUCAGAGUAUGUGGGCUAAGCUGUGUACUCGAAAGGGAAACAGCCCAGACCGCCUGCUAAGGUCCCUAAAUCCAUGCUAAGUGGCAAAGGAUGUGCGUUUGCUCAGACAACCAGGAUGUUGGCUUAGAAGCAGCCAUUCAUUUAAAGAGUGCGUAAUAGCUCACUGGUCAAGUGGACAUGCGCCGACAAUUCACGGGGCUAAGCAUGGUACCGAAGCAGCGGAUUUGUACAAUUGUACAAGUGGUAGGGGAGCUUUCUGUGCUGGGUUGAAGCGGGCUGGUAAUGGUCCGUGGACUGCACAGAAGUGAGAAUGCUGGCAUGAGUAACGAGAGUGGAGUUAAAAACUCCACCGCCGUAAGCCUAAGGGUUCCUGGGCGAGGCUAAUCCCCCCAGGGUCAGUCGGGAGCUAAGGCGAGGCCGCAAGGCGUAGUCGAUGCACAACAGGUAGAUAUUCCUGUACCACUGAUAAGCCGCUAACACCAAUGGGGUGACAAAGAAGGAUAGCUGAGCGGGGUUCUGGACGUCCCCGUGAAAGCGCGUAGGCCGAUGUGUAGGCAAAUCCGCACAUCAUAUAAGGCUGAGACGUGAAGACGAAGCAAUUGAGUGAAGUCAGUGAUUCCAUGCUUUCAAGAAAAACCUCUAGGGAGGCUUGUCGGUGCCCGUACCAAAACCGACACAGGUAGGCAGGUAGAGCAUACCGAGGCGAUCGAGAAAACUAUGGUUAAGGAACUCGGCAUAAUGACUCCGUAACUUCGGGAGAAGGAGUGCCCUGGACGGUGAUAGAACUUGCUUCUUGAGCUAUCCGGGGUCGCAGUGAAACGGCCCAAGCGACUGUUUAUCAAAAACACAGGACUCUGCUAAGUCGUAAGACGACGUAUAGGGUCUGACGCCUGCCCGGUGCUGGAAGGUUACGUGGAGGGGUUAGCGAUUUAUCGCGAAGCUCUGAAACUAAGCCCCAGUAAACGGCGGCCGUAACUAUAACGGUCCUAAGGUAGCGAAAUUCCUUGUCGGGUAAGUUCCGACCUGCACGAAUGGCGUAACGACUUGGGCGCUGUCUCAACCAUAGACUCGGUGAAAUUGUAUUAUUCGUGAAGAUGCGAAUUACCCGCGGAAGGACGGAAAGACCCCGUGAACCUUUACUACAGCUUGACAUUGACUAUUGGUUCGAUGUGUAGAGGAUAGGUGGGAGACUUUGAAGUGUUGGCGCCAGCUGGCAUGGAGUCACCCUUGGAAUACCACCCUCAUCGAAUUGGUAGUCUAACGCUAGACCGUUAUCCGGCUAGCGGACCGUGUCAGGUGGGUAGUUUGACUGGGGCGGUCGCCUCCUAAAAUGUAACGGAGGCUUACAAAGGUCACCUCAACACGGUCGGUAAUCGUGUGUAGAGUGUAAAGGCAUAAGGUGGCUUUACUGUGAGACAAACAAGUCGAGCAGUUGCGAAAGCAGGUCUUAGUGAUCCGGCGGCACUGUGUGGAAGGGCCGUCGCUCAAAGGAUAAAAGGUACGCUGGGGAUAACAGGCUGAUCUUGCCCAAGAGUUCACAUCGACGGCAAGGUUUGGCACCUCGAUGUCGGCUCAUCGCAUCCUGGGGCUGGAGAAGGUCCCAAGGGUUUGGCUGUUCGCCAAUUAAAGCGGUACGCGAGCUGGGUUCAGAACGUCGUGAGACAGUUCGGUCCCUAUCCAGUGUGGGCGUAAGAUACUUGAGGGAACCCGCAACUAGUACGAGAGGACCGUUGUGCGUAUACCUACGGUGCAUCUGUUGUUACACCAGUAGCAUAGCAGAGUAGCCAUGU
rnacentral:rRNA from 1 species